rnacentral:rRNA from 1 species
UUGAACGCUGGCGGCACGCCUAACACAUGCAAGUCGAGCGGCAGCGCGAAUAGUAGCCAAUACUAUUUGGCGGCGAGCGGCGGACGGGUGAGUAACACGUAGGAACCUAUCUCUGAGAGGGGGACAACCAAGGGAAACUUUGGCUAAUACCGCGUAAUCUCGAGAGAGCAAAGCUGCAGCAAUGUGGCGCUUAGAGAGGGGCCUGCGUCCGAUUAGCUAGUUGGUGAGGUAAAGGCUCACCAAGGCAGUGAUCGGUAACUGGUCUGAGAGGACGACCAGUCACACUGGGACUGAGACACGGCCCAGACUCCUACGGGAGGCAGCAGUGGGGAAUCUUGGACAAUGGGGGCAACCCUGAUCCAGCGAUGCCGCGUGAGUGAAGAAGGCCUUCGGGUCGUAAAGCUCUUUAGGCUGGGAAGAAGUUUAUGGGAGGAAAUGCCUGUAGAUUGACGGUACCAGCAGAAUAAGCACCGGCAAACUCUGUGCCAGCAGCCGCGGUAAUACAGAGGGUGCGAGCGUUAAUCGGAGUUACUGGGCGUAAAGGGCGCGUAGGCGGUUUUGUGUGUGUGUGAUGUGAAAGCCCCGGGCUUAACCUGGGAAGUGCAUCGCAAACUACAAGACUUGAGUAGGUGAGAGGGUAGCGGAAUUUCCGGUGUAGCGGUGAAAUGCGUAGAGAUCGGAAGGAACGUCAAUGGCGAAGGCAGCUACCUGGCACCAUACUGACGCUGAGGCGCGAAGGCUAGGGGAGCGGACGGGAUUAGAUACCCCGGUAGUCCUAGCAGUAAACGAUGACCACUAGGUGUGGGGGGUGUUGACCCCUUCCGUGCCGAAGCCAACGCAUUAAGUGGUCCGCCUGGGGAGUACGGUCGCAAGACUAAAACCCAAAGGAAUUGACGGGGACCCGCACAAGCAGCGGAGCGUGUGGUUUAAUUCGAUGCAACGCGAAGAACCUUACCUGGGCUUGACAUGCAAUCGCAACACCUUGAAAGAGGUGCCUCCUUCGGGACGGUUGCACAGAUGCUGCAUGGCUGUCGUCAGCUCGUGUCGUGAGAUGUUGGGUUAAGUCCCGCAACGAGCGCAACCCUCGUCUUUAGUUGAAAAUCUAAAGAGACUGCCGGAAACAAACCGGAGGAAGGUGGGGAUGAUGUCAAGUCAGCAUGGCCCUUACGUCCAGGGCUACACACACGCUACAAUGGUCGUUACAGCGAGAAGCGACACUGCGAAGUGAAGCAGAUCUCUAAAAGGCGGCCUCAGUUCAGAUUGCACUCUGCAACCCGAGUGCAUGAAGUCGGAGUUGCUAGUAACCGCGUGUCAGCAUAGCGCGGUGAAUAUGUUCCCGGGUCUUGUACACACCGCCCGUCACGUCAUGGGAGUCGGCAAUACCUGAAGUCCGUGAGCUAACCCCCCUUAGGGUGUGGGAGGCAGCGGCCGAGGGUAGGGCUGAUGACU